rnacentral:snRNA from 1 species
AUUAUUUUGGCAGCAUGUACAUUAAAAUUAUAAUGAUACAGAGACUGUAAGCAUUGCUCCGUACAAGGAUGACAUGUAAAAUAAUAAUAAUAAUAAUAACAAUAAUAAUAAUAAUAA